AAUUCGCCCUUAGAGUUUGAUCCUGGCUCAGAUUGAACGCUGGCGGCAUGCCUUACACAUGCAAGUCGAACGGUAACGCGGGGCAACCUGGCGACGAGUGGCGAACGGGUGAGUAAUAUAUCGGAACGUGCCCAGUCGUGGGGGAUAACUGCUCGAAAGAGCAGCUAAUACCGCAUACGACCUGAGGGUGAAAGCGGGGGAUCUUCGGACCUCGCGCGAUUGGAGCGGCCGAUAUCAGAUUAGGUAGUUGGUGGGGUAAAGGCCUACCAAGCCGACGAUCUGUAGCUGGUCUGAGAGGACGACCAGCCACACUGGGACUGAGACACGGCCCAGACUCCUACGGGAGGCAGCAGUGGGGAAUUUUGGACAAUGGGGGCAACCCUGAUCCAGCCAUGCCGCGUGCGGGAAGAAGGCCUUCGGGUUGUAAACCGCUUUUGUCAGGGAAGAAAUCCUUUGGGCUAAUAACUCGGAGGGAUGACGGUAC
rnacentral:rRNA from 1 species